rnacentral:rRNA from 1 species
GCCUACGGGGGGCAGCAGUGGGGAAUAUUGCGCAAUGGGCGAAAGCCUGACGCAGCGACGCCGCGUGAGGGAUGAAGGUCUUCGGAUCGUAAACCUCUGUCAGCAGGGAAGAACGGUCACUGUGCUAAUCAGCAGUGAAUUGACGGUACCUACAAAGGAAGCACCGGCUAACCCCGUGCCAGCAGCCGCGGUAAUACGGAGGGUGCGAGCGUUAAUCGGAAUUACUGGGCGUAAAGCGCUCGUAGGCGGUAUGUCAAGUCAAGGGUGAAAUCCCCGCGCUCAACGUGGGAACUGCCUUUGAAACU